rnacentral:rRNA from 1 species
CCUAGUAAGCGUGAGUCAUCAGCUCAUGUUGAUUACGUCCCUGCCCUUUGUACACACCGCCCGUCGCUACUACCGAUUGAAUGGCUUAGUGAGACUCUCGGAUCGGGUUUUGGGAACCGGCAACGGAUCCUUUCUUCUGAGAAGUUUGUCAAACUUGGUCAUUUAGAGGAAGUAAAAGUCGUAACAAGGUUUCCGUAGGUGAACCUGCGGAAGGAUCAUUAGAAUAUUCGGGAAUUUUUUUCCUAAAUAUCUUAUUCAAAAAAUUUCCAUUCUAUUAAAAAAUAAUUUUUUAAACUUUAUUAAAAAAAUAAAGACAACUUUCAACAACGGAUCUCUUGGCUCUUGCAUCGAUGAAGAACGCAGUGAAAUGCGAUACGUAAUGUGAAUUGCAGAAUUCCGUGAAUCAUCAAAUCUUUGAACGCAAAUUGCACUCCUUGGUAUUCCGAGGAGUAUGCUUGCUUGAGGGUCGAAUCAUAUUAUCGUUUUAUAACGGAUCUGGGUUUUUCCAAGUUUUUUUUUAAACCUUGGUAACCUAAAAUUUAUCUUAAUAAUAUUUGUAAUAUUGAAAAUGUGUAUCUUACGUUCACGUGAGUUUAUUGACAAUCAUUAUGAAUUUAUUACGUCGUAUUAUUCACUCGAUUUUUUUAACGAUCGGGGCGAAAAUGAUACAAUUUUUUAAAAUUCGACCUCAAGUCAAGUAAGAAUACCCGCUGAACUUAAGCAUAUCAAUAAGCGGAGGAAAAGAAACUAACAAGGAUUCCCUUAGUAACGGCGAGUGAACUGGGAAGAGCUCAAAUUUAAAAUCAUCAGGGUUUCCUUGAUGAGUUGUAAUUUGAAGAAAGUGUUUUGAUGUUCGGGUUUUAUCUAAAUCCUUUGGGAUAAGGUAUCAUAGAGGGUGAGAAUCCCGUUCGUGAUUAAACCUCGGAUGUCACUUAAUUCAUUUUCUAAGAGUCGAGUUGUUUGGGAUUGCAGCUCAAAAUGGGUGGUAAAUUUCACCUAAGGCUAAAUAUAUGCGAGAGACCGAUAGCGAACAAGUACCGUGAGGGAAAGAUGAAAAGAACUUUGAAAAGAGAGUUAAAUAGUACGUGAAAUUGUUGAAAGGGAAACGAUUGAAGUCAGUCAUGCUAGUGAGGAAUCAACUCGGUGGUUUUCUUCCGGGUGUACUUUCUCGCCUGGCAGGUUAGCAUCAAUUUCGUUCAUCAUUAAAUGAUCGGGGUAAUGUGGCUUCUCUUCGGAGUAGUGUUAUAGACCUUGGUAGAUGUGAUGAUCGGGAUUGAGGAUUGCAGCGAAUGCUAUUUGGCUAGUCCCCUGAUUUCUGAUGGUCACCUCGCUUUCGACAGCUUGCUGACGUGGGUGGGUUCUGAUUGUCUAGAUGUUAGAGUGAUCAUAUAUUCGCUAAGGAUGCUGACGUAAUGGCUUUAAACGACCCGUCUUGAACACGGACCAAGGAG